rnacentral:antisense_RNA from 1 species
CUUCACCGAACCGAGCCACAGCGGCUGCCCCUCCACACGGUCCCUGCCGUACGUCGCCAGCAGUGCCUGUGCCUC